GUACGUUUCAUAAUUUUUACUUACUUUAUUUGCUUUGAAAAUAACAGUCAUGCAUCUGCUAAGUCUUUGUAGAUGGUCAAAAUCAUUAUGAAUAAUUUUGUUUGUUUGUAAAUUGCUUUAAUUCCUUGUAAUUAAAGUGUAUAUAUGUAUAUACAUAUAUAGAGAACUGAUAUUGAACCUAAAGGGCGACACUGGGGGCAUAAAUAAUACUCCGAUAUCUGUGCCGUUUAUGUCGCCUCUUUUUUUUUAUAUUAAUCACGAGGUAUCCUGGGGAGGGCCCCAACUAUGGGAGGCACCUUUAAGCCCGUACCACAACCCAGACUAGAAGUCCCCGCUCGAACCGAGAGGCACAGGUUCUCCCAACAAAGGCGACUUCCCUGCGACUCGAACUGGGGAGCAAACCCAGUCAAGCCACUUAAGGGGACUCCAUUGCCAGUGGAGCCAACACUUUGUUGGUGUUUAUGUCGCCUCUUUGUCACCCUUUGAGCUCGAUAUCAUUAUUGACAUAUAUAAGCUCGUGGACACCCUUCGCUUAAUUAUUUAUAUUUUUCAUUUUUGUUUUCUGAUGAGAUCACAGAGUGUGUAGUAACCCUACACGUCCAGGCGGGAGCCACGGGGGAGGAGGAAAGAUCAAUAGCGAGAAGCCGAAAUCUCUCAACAAUGCUCAAAUUGAAGUAAAAGAAUCUGCUGACAAAAACAAAGCAGUAAAAGAAGAUGGUGCUGCAAAGAAUAAGUCUAAUUAAGGCUUCAAAUCAAUUAGUUAAUGGCCGCUUAAUUUAGAGGGCAUGGCUUACAUAGGCAUGCGGCCAUAAAAUUAUAGUUUCUCUACUGUACUAGACUGCCUUAAAAUGUUUAAUAAGGCUAGCUGCUUUUAGUGUCAAGUGUGUGGUGGCUAAUAAUUAUCACGUGUUCUUAGAAAAAAAUAAAUAAAGCCACGUUAUGUGUAUAUGCAUCAUGAGGGUUUGGACUUGAGGUAGUUUAAUUAAUUAUUAUCAGCUAGCAUAGUUGCUAUAUGUCAUCAGUUUGUGUUAUGAGUUGUAUGCACAUGUACUAUUCCCUGCGACUUUGUAUGUUGUUGGAAUUCGCGCCUACGAUGGGUCGGACAAGCCCAAAAGAAAGAAAUAUUCAUAAGUUUCUUUCAAAUAGAGUUUCAUAUGCCCAUUAAAAAAAAAAAAAAAUAGAGUUUCAUAAAUAUUCAUAAGUUUCUUUCAAAUAGAGUUUCAUAUGCCCAUUAAAAAAAAAAAAAAAUAGAGUUUCAUAAAUAUUCAUAAGUUUCUUUCAAAUAGAGUUUCAUAUGCCCAUUAAAAAAAAAAAAAAAUAGAGUUUCAUAAAUAUUCAUAAGUUUCUUUCAAAUAGAGUUUCAUAUGCCCAUUAAAAAAAAAAAAAAAUAGAGUUUCAUAAAUAUUCAUAAGUUUCUUUCAAAUAGAGUUUCAUAUGCCCAUUAAAAAAAAAAAAAAAUAGAGUUUCAUAAAUAUUCAUAAGUUUCUUUCAAAUAGAGUUUCAUAUGCCCAUUAAAAAAAAAAAAAAAUAGAGUUUCAUAAAUAUUCAUAAGUUUCUUUCAAAUAGAGUUUCAUAUGCCCAUAAAAAAAAAAUAUGUCGCCUCUUUGUCACCCUUUGAGCUCGAUAUCAUUAUUGACAUAUAUAAGCUCGUGGACACCCUUCGCUUAAUUAUUUAUAUUUUUCAUUUUUGUUUUCUGAUGAGAUCACAGAGUGUGUAGUAACCCUACACGUCCAGGCGGGAGCCACGGGGGAGGAGGAAAGAUCAAUAGCGAGAAGCCGAAAUCUCUCAACAAUGCUCAAAUUGAAGUAAAAGAAUCUGCUGACAAAAACAAAGCAGUAAAAGAAGAUGGUGCUGCAAAGAAUAAGUCUAAUUAAGGCUUCAAAUCAAUUAGUUAAUGGCCGCUUAAUUUAGAGGGCAUGGCUUACAUAGGCAUGCGGCCAUAAAAUUAUAGUUUCUCUACUGUACUAGACUGCCUUAAAAUGUUUAAUAAGGCUAGCUGCUUUUAGUGUCAAGUGUGUGGUGGCUAAUAAUUAUCACGUGUUCUUAGAAAAAAAUAAAUAAAGCCACGUUAUGUGUAUAUGCAUCAUGAGGGUUUGGACUUGAGGUAGUUUAAUUAAUUAUUAUCAGCUAGCAUAGUUGCUAUAUGUCAUCAGUUUGUGUUAUGAGUUGUAUGCACAUGUACUAUUCCCUGCGACUUUGUAUGUUGUUGGAAUUCGCGCCUACGAUGGGUCGGACAAGCCCAAAAGAAAGAAAUAUUCAUAAGUUUCUUUCAAAUAGAGUUUCAUAUGCCCAUUAAAAAAAAAAAAAAAUAGAGUUUCAUAAAUAUUCAUAAGUUUCUUUCAAAUAGAGUUUCAUAUGCCCAUAAAAAAAAAAUAGAGUUUCAUAUGAAUGUUGUAAGUUUAAUUAUACUCUAAGAGUUAUGAAAUUUUAUGCUUGACUUCUAU
rnacentral:lncRNA from 1 species